AUUGAACGCUGGCGGAAUGCUUUACACAUGCAAGUCGAACGGCAGCACGGACUUCGGUCUGGUGGCGAGUGGCGAACGGGUGAGUAACAUAUCGGAACGUAUCCAAUAACGGGGGAUAACUAAUCGAAAGGUUGGCUAAUACCGCAUACGCCCUACGGGGGAAAGCUAGGGACCUACGGGCCUGGCGUUAAUGGAGCGGCCGAUAUCUGAUUAGCUAGUUGGUGAGGUAAAGGCUCACCAAGGCGACGAUCAGGAGCUGGUCUGAGAGGACGACCAGCCGCACUGGAACGUGGACACGGUCCAGGGUCCUACGGGAGGCAGCAGUGGGGAAUGGUGAACAAGGGGCGCAAGCCUGAUGCAGCCGUUCCGCGUGAGUGAAGAAGGCCUUCGGGUUGUAAAGCUCUUUCGCAAGGGAAGAAAACUUAGGCUCUAACAUAGCCUGAGGUUGACGGUACCUUGAUAAGAAGCACCGGCUAACUACGUGCCAGCAGCCGCCGUAAGAC
rnacentral:rRNA from 1 species